AACGAACGCUGGCGGCAUGCCUAACACAUGCAAGUCGAACGAGACCUUCGGGUCUAGUGGCGCACGGGUGCGUAACGCGUGGGAACCUGCCCUUAGGUUCGGAAUAACUCCCCGAAAGGGGUGCUAAUACCGGAUAAUGUCUUCGGACCAAAGAUUUAUCGCCUUUGGAUGGGCCCGCGUUGGAUUAGCUAGUUGGUAGGGUAAAAGCCUACCAAGGCGAAGAUCUAUAGCUGGUCUGAGAGGAUGAUCAGCCACACUGGGACUGAGACACGGCCCAGACUCCUACGGGAGGCAGCAGUGGGGAAUAUUGGACAAUGGGCGAAAGCCUGAUCCAGCAAUGCCGCGUGAGUGAUGAAGGCCUUAGGGUUGUAAAGCUCUUUUACCCGGGAUGAUAAUGACAGUACCGGGAGAAUAAGCUCCGGCUAACUCCGU
rnacentral:rRNA from 1 species